AGGUAGAGGAGAGGUGGGAGGUUGGGGAAGGAGGUAGAGGAGGUAGAGGAGAGAAGGGAGAUGGGGAAGGAGGUAGAAGAGGUAGAGGAGAGGUGUGGUUGGGGA